rnacentral:pre_miRNA from 1 species
AUUUACUUGGGGUCUUGUUAAAAUGCAGGUUCUGAUUCAGUAGGUCUGUGGUGGGUCUGAGAUUCUGCAUUUCUAACAAGCUUCUACUUGAUGCUGA